AUGCUACACGGUUUCGGUGGCCAAAUUGCAGAUUUCCCCACUACCUACCUAGGGCUGCCGAUCACUCCCAAAAGAUUGCGUCUGGUGCAUUUUCAGGUCCUCAUUGACAGAAUCAAAGUAAGGCUGGCAAGUUGGAAGGGCAAACUGAUGUUCUUGGCGGGCCGACGCGUUUUGGUGCGUUCGGUGUUGUCCGCGCUUCCCACCUUCGUGCUCUCAGUGCUCAAGGUCCCAAAGAAAACGCUAAAGGAGGCUGACAAGACACAGCGCCGCUUCCUCUGGGCCCAGGAGGAGGCUCUGACGGGUGGCAAGUGCAAGGUAGCAUGGAGCUCGGUGUGCUCGCCGAUGGAGAAGGGAGGCCUCGGCGUGCUCGACCUGCAUCGCUUCAGUUUGGCGCUCAGGUUGCGCUAG
rnacentral:rRNA from 1 species